AGGUGAUCAGUGUGCGUGUGUUUUGCCAUUGUGAGGUGGAGGCUGUUCCCCAGCUCACAGCCGUUCUCUGUCCUGACCCUGGCAGGCACUGGCUCAGGCGAUCAGGGAAGCCAGAGAGCAGCACCCUGACAUGUCGGUCACAAGAGUGGUGGUACACAAAGAAACAGAGUUGGCUGAGGAAGGGGAAGAUUAAGUAAGAAAGUCAUUUUUUAAACAACACUCAACUUUGUGAACCCCUGAAGAUUUUUUGACCGUUCCAAGUCUUAAUGCCACACCACUAUUCCAGCGAAUUUAUGCUACAACUGGUAACAAUGACCAGAAGCCUGAAGAAUUAAAAUGCCAACACCAAACCUUUCCUUACCAGCUCUGGUCUAUAUUGCUCCCAUGCAUUUAAUAUAUUAUUUUGUUUUAUAACCACUUCUAA
rnacentral:sRNA from 1 species